rnacentral:rRNA from 1 species
CACAAGCGGCGGAGCAUGCGGAUUAAUUCGAUGCAACGCGAAGAACCUUACCAAGGCUUGACAUACACCGGUAACGCCCAGAGAUGGGUGCCCCUUUGUGGUCGGUGUACAGGUGGUGCAUGGUUGUCGUCAGCUCGUGUCGUGAGAUGUUGGGUUAAGUCCCGCAACGAGCGCAACCCUCGUCCUAUGUUGCCAGCGGGUCAUGCCGGGGACUCAUGGGAGACUGCCGGGGUCAACUCGGAGGAAGGUGGGGAUGACGUCAAAUCAUCGUGCCCCUUAUGUCUUGGGCUUCACGCAUGCUACGAUGGCCGGUACAAAGGGCUGCGAUACCGCGAGGUGGAGCGAAUCCCAGAAAGCCGGUCUCAGUUCGGAUUGGGGUCUGCAACUCGACCCCAUGAAGUCGGAGUCGCUAGUAAUCGCGGAUCAGCAUGCCGCGGUGAAUACGUUCCCGGGCCUU